CACCAUUUCAGUGGCAUUUAAAUCCCCGGCGCUCCUUCAUCUAGGUGACGCGCAGUCGCCCCCCCAGGCAGCCCAGGCGGCGGCAGCUGCGGCAGCGACUGUCAGGCCGAUUCGGUGUGCUGCG
rfam:Callithrix jacchus chromosome 8, whole genome shotgun sequence